CAAAGGAUGGCCAAGAUCCCACACAGGCCUUCCUAAAGCUCUUCUGAUGCUUCCAUCGACCCCAAAAGACCACAAACCCAACCCUGACCCCAUAAACACCCCCAGGACAAUCCCAUAGGGCAUGGGAUGAACCCAGAUGUCCCAAAAGACAAUCCUGACCCCAUAAACACCCCCAGGACCAUCCCAUACGGCAUGGGAUGACCCCAGGUGUCCCCAAACCCAACCCAGACCCCAUAAAUACCACCAGGGUCGGCCUGGAGGGUGUGGGGUGGCCCCACAUGGCCCCAGAUGUGCCAAAGGAUGGCCCAAAUCCCAUACAGACAUUCCUAAAGUUCUUCUGAUGCUUCCAUCGACCCCAAAAGACCCCCAACCCAACCCUGACCCCAUAAAGACCCCCAGGAUCACCCCAUAAGGCAUGGGAUGAACCCAGAUGUCCCCAAACCCAACCCUGACCCCAUAAACACCCCCAUACCACCCCAUAGGGUUCUUCCUCCACCCCAUACCGCCCCAUAGGGCAUGUCCUCACCCCAUAGCGCCCCAUAGGACAUCUCCCAGCUCCCCAUACCAGGUCCAUGUGCUUGAGGCUGUCCAUAGGGCAUCUCCUCACCCCCAUACCGCCCCAUAGGGCAUCUCCUCACCCCCAUACCACCCCAUAGGGCAUCUCCUCACCCCCAUACCACCCCAUAGGGUUCUUCCUCCACCCCAUCACCUCGUAGGUCAUCUCUUCACCCCCCUACCACACUAUAGGGUUCUUCCUCCACCCCAUACCGCCCCAUAGGGCAUCUCCUCAUCCCAUAGGGC
ensembl:lncRNA